rnacentral:rRNA from 1 species
GAUGAACGCUGGCGGCGUGCCUAAUACAUGCCAGUCGAGCGAACAGACGAGGAGCUUGCUCCUCUGACGUUAGCGGCGGACGGGUGAGUAACACGUGGAUAACCUACCUAUAAGACUGGGAUAACUUCGGGAAACCGGAGCUAAUACCGGAUAACAUGUUGAACCACAUGGUUCAACAGUGAAAGACGGUCUUGCUGUCACUUAUAGAUGGAUCCGCGCCGCAUUAGCUAGUUGGUAAGGUAACGGCUUACCAAGGCAACGAUGCGUAGCCGACCUGAGAGGGUGAUCGGCCACACUGGAACUGAGACACGGUCCAGACUCCUACGGGAGGCAGCAGUAGGGAAUCUUCCGCAAUGGGCGAAAGCCUGACGGAGCAACGCCGCGUGAGUGAAGAAGGUCUUCGGAUCGUAAAACUCUGUUAUUAGGGAAGAACAAAUGUGUAAGUAACUAUGCACGUCUUGACGGUACCUAAUCAGAAAGCCACGGCUAACUACGUG